rnacentral:rRNA from 1 species
AACCGUUAUAACCGGCGAUACCCGAAUGGGGAAACCCAGUGUGACUCGUCACACUAUCAUUAACUGAAUCCAUAGGUUAAUGAGGCGAACCGGGGGAACUGAAACAUCUAAGUACCCCGAGGAAAAGAAAUCAACCGAGAUUCCCCCAGUAGCGGCGAGCGAACGGGGAGGAGCCCAGAGCCUGAAUCAGCAUGUGUGUUAGUGGAAGCGUCUGGAAAGGCGCGCGAUACAGGGUGACAGCCCCGUACACAAAAGCGCAUGUGCUGUGAGCUCGAUGAGUAGGGCGGGACACGUGGUAUCCUGUCUGAAUAUGGGGGGACCAUCCUCCAAGGCUAAAUACUCCUGACUGACCGAUAGUGAACCAGUACCGUGAGGGAAAGGCGAAAAGAACCCCGGCGAGGGGAGUGAAAAAGAACCUGAAACCGUGUACGUACAAGCAGUGGGAGCACCCUUCGGGGUGUGACUGCGUACCUUUUGUAUAAUGGGUCAGCGACUUAUAUUCUGUAGCAAGGUUAACCGUAUAGGGGAGCCGUAGGGAAACCGAGUCUUAAC